UAAUAUUUACAUAUUUUUAUACUUGUAUUAGGGUUUAAAUUUCUAUAUAGGGAUUAGUGCUGAUUGGAGAGAAGUUAGUUUCUGAAAUAUUGAGUUCGUCAUUGCAAGAUUGGGGUUAAAAUUGGAAUAAGUGUCAUAUUUUCGUGUCGUGUAGGGUUUCAUGAUUAGUUGAUAGGAUUUCAUACAUAUAUUACCAUGUGUGGUUUCAGAUCGUGAGCUAUGCAUAUCGUUACGUCUUACAUGGUUUUCAUUCCACAUUAUUGUUAUACUAUACAAUUUAUUUUACAUUUACUUUCUUAUAUGGAUCCUUACACCUUUAUCUUUCGCUUUUGUUUCUCAGGUUACAAAUUGAAGAUUUAGUUGUCAAGUAGAUUGUUCGAAACUAGAUUUGAGUCAUCUGGUAAAUAUAUUCUCAUUUAUAUGUAAUGGUGCAAUAUGUAUAUAAGUGGAAUAGAUCGUGUCUAUGUAAAAUGGAAAGACCAUUCAUGUGAAAUAGAAUAUAUGAUCUUUACUAUUUUUUAUAUUCUAUUCUAUUUACGAAACAUAGAAUAUAAAUAUGAUUGUAAUAUGCAUAAGCAUAAGUUAUGUUUUGUUGUUGUAUCAUUUCUAUGAAUCUUAAUUUAUGCGUAUUGAUCAAAACUAAGAACUUAAAACUCAAUUUUAUCAUUUGGUUAACCAGGUCUACAUAAGUGUAAACUUCAUACAAAUUUCGUUAACCACAUCUACAUUUGUUGUUUGGGUUUAAUAUUUAUAUUUGAUUUUAGGGUUUAGUAAAUAAAGUUUAAGGUUUAGAAUUCAUAUUUGGGUUAAAAUUUAGUGAUUAGAGUUUAGGGUUUAGUAUUAGAAGGUGAAGGAGUAUGGUUGGGAUCAUCGUUAAUUUCUUUCAUGUAAUUAUAGACAUUUCAUAGUUUCACUAAUAUGUACUAUGUUAUUUAUUUUGUUUUAUUCUAUUUGAGUUAGAGUUUAUAUUUGGGUUCAAAGUUUAUAUUUAGGUAAGGUUUUUAUUGAUUAUAAUUUAGGGUUUAGUAUUUAGAAAGUGGGAGGGUAUUGUUAGGGUCAGCAUUAACUUGUUCCAUGCAAUCAUAUAUAUUUUAUAAUUUUACCAAUAUGUGCUAUGUUAUUUAUUUUGUUUUAUUCUAUUUUGGGUUAGAGUUUAUAUUUGGGUUUAGGAUGUAUAUUUGGGUAAGGGUUUAGUGAUUAUAAUUUAUGGUUUAGUAUUUUGAUGGUGAGAGGGUAUGGUUGGGGUCAGCAUUAACUUCUUCUCUGCAAUCAUAAACAUUUCAUAAUUUCACUAAUUUCACCGAUAUGUACUAUGUUAUUUAUUUUGUUAUAUUCCAUUUGGGUUAGAGUUUAUAUUUGGAUUUAGGGUUUAUAUAUGGAUAAGGGUUUAGUAUUUAGGGGUUAAGGUGUGAUUGAGACAAGGUUUAAUAUCUAGGGUUUAGGCUUGGGAUAUGUUUAGUAUUACAGGUUGUAGGUGAAAUUAUAAUCAUAUGCUACUUCGGUUAUAUGGAAUAGAACAUUCGGUAUAUAUGUAUGUCACUAAUAAAGGUGUAACGUGGAUGACUUUUUCUUAUUUCUGAAGAAAUAUUUUAGACAUACUUGACCAUGUAUUACAUAGAC
rnacentral:lncRNA from 1 species